AUUGAACGCUGGCGGCAGGCCUAACACAUGCAAGUCGAGCGGAUGAAGGGAGCUUGCUCCUGGAUUCAGCUGCGGACGGGUGGGUAAUGCCUAGGAAUCUGCCUGGUAGUUGGGGAUAACGUCCGGAAACGGGCGCUAAUACCGCAUACGUCCUGAGGUAGAAAGUGGGGGAUCUUCGGACCUCACGCUAUCAGAUGAGCCUAGGUCGGAUUAGCUAGUUGGUGGGGUAAAGGCCUACCAAGGCGACGAUCCGUAACUGGUCUGAGAGGAUGAUCAGUCACACUGGAACUGAGACACGGUCCAGACUCCUACGGGAGGCAGCAGUGGGGAAUAUUGGACAAUGGGCGAAAGCCUGAUCCAGCCAUGCCGCGUGUGUGAAGAAGGUCUUCGGAUUGUAAAGCACUUUAAGUUGGGAGGAAGGGCAGUAAGUUAAUACCUUGCUGUUUUGACGUUACCAACAGAAUAAGCACCGGCUAACUUCGUG
rnacentral:rRNA from 1 species